UAAAAGUGCAAAUAAAAGGGCUCUCCCCAUUCCGCCGGCCACUCCAGCCGUCGACGGAGCUGCUUGUGCUGAUCCCUCCACUCGUCGGCUUCUUCCCGGCAACCCAGGGCCCACCCUAGGCGCGGUGAUGGGCGCCAGGGCGCGGGUGAAGGCGGCGGCGCUCGCAAGGGCGGACGCCGGCGGCGACAUCGUCCAUCAGGACGUCAACGCGCCCAAAUCCUCGGCUACUCGAAUGACUUCAUGCUCAGUGUCCGAAUUUACCAAGGUGUUAGCUUUCUUAUUCAGGAAGAGGUUGUCAAGAAGACAAAAUCAGUUGGGAAGCUCAAACAAGAAGUUGAGAAUUGCCUAUAAUAGAGUGAAAGAUUUAACAACGAGAAGGCUGAGUUUGAGCAAGCUUCCUUCACAAAAGGUACAGUUCCUUGUCUCGACCUCUUUCUUGUGUGCCUGUCGCUAGCUAGCGAUGUUUUGGUUAUGCAAUUUUUGUGUGAAGUUCACCCUCGACAUGGACAGCAUGUCAUGGACCCUCUUUUCCUAGCCUCCACUCUGUCGAGGCACAUAUGAGGGUUACCAUGAUUCUGGUAGUGCUUGUUCUACCAUCAGGUGGAGGGCUAUGAGGAUGUUGUGGCAAUAAGACUGUGAUGCCAUAUAGGUUCAAUCAGUACAUGAAGCAGAUGCCGCGUACUAUAUUGCUUACCUGUGCAGGGCUAAGAGGAAGUUGAUGCAUGGCAGGGGACGGAGGUGCAGCGAGAUCCUGGAGAGGCUGCGCCGAUGCAUCUUCUAAAGGGUGACUCGAAACCAGCAGAGGGACAUGGAUCAUGCGAAAACACUGAUUCAGUGAAAAUCUGGAAACUCAACUUGUGGGCCAUCAGAUCAAUAAGGAGUGCACAGAUGAGAGGGUGGGCUUGCUAAUCACCUGGUUGUACUUUUACACGGGCUGACUGUAUUCAUGGCAAAUUUGUUGGCAACAAGGAUGGUGAUUCAUGGAAAGUAAAAUGGUUAUUUUCUCUGAUCUAAA